GCCACUGUGGUCUGGCCUGGCUUUGGGUGUGACAAAGCUUUUGCCGUGUUUUCUUUUCUCUGCAGUUAAGCACAGUGGAAACAUCACAUUCGAUGAGAUUGUCAGCAUUGCCCGGCAGAUGCGACACCGAUCUUUAGCCAGAGAACUCUCUGGAACCAUUAAAGAGAUCCUGGGGACUGCCCAGUCUGUGGGGUGCAAUGUUGAUGGCCGCCACCCUCAUGACAUCAUAGAUGAUAUCAACAGUGGUGCAGUGGAAUGUCCCGCUACUUAAGAACUACAAAGGAAAAGGACUCAGAUCAUUUGACAAGCAGUG